rnacentral:rRNA from 1 species
CCUACGGGAGGCAGCAGUGAGGAAUAUUGGUCAAUGGGCGCAAGCCUGAACCAGCCAUGCCGCGUGCAGGAAGAAUGCCCUACGGGUUGUAAACUGCUUUUAUUUGGGAAUAAACCUUUCUACGUGUAGAAAGCUGAAGGUACCAAUUGAAUAAGCACCGGCUAACUCCGUGCCAGCAGCCGCGGUAAUACGGAGGGUGCAAGCGUUAUCCGGAAUCAUUGGGUUUAAAGGGUCCGCAGGCGGACCUAUAAGUCAGUGGUGAAAGCCUACAGCUUAACUGUAGAACUGCCAUUGAAACUGUAGGUCUUGAAUUCGGUCGAAGUGGGCGGAAUGUGUAGUGUAGCGGUGAAAUGCAUAGAUAUUACACAGAACACCGAUAGCGAAGGCAGCUCACUAGGCCUGGAUUGACGCUCAGGGACGAAAGCGUGGGGAUCAAACAGGAUUAGAUACCCUGGUAGUCCACGCCGUAAACUAUGAUUACUCGUUUUCGGCGAUAUACAGUCGGAGACUAAGCGAAAGUGAUAAGUAAUCCACCUGGGGAGUACGAUCGCAGGUCGAAACGUUAAAGUAGUAGUAGACGNGUGAGAGUCGACGAGGACACACGGAGGGAGGAGG